CCAAAUGAAAUCACUACAAGGUGGACUACGGUUACGAAGCUCAUCCCUCUACCCUGUAGACCAGAAUUGAUCUUCACAGGAACCUCUGUCAUGGGCAUCAAACCCGAGACCGGGAAGUUCUGCAGCCAUGCGGACUUCUGGGAUUCUAUAAAGAAGAAUGACUGCUUUUCUUUAGAAGGUUUGUUGGAUGAAUUCAAGCAGCUGAGGAUUUACAAAACUCCAGACUUGGAAACACCCAAAUAUGAUAUUCUAAAAAGAACUGCAAACUAUGAAGAUGAUUUGGAUGAUGGAAUCUGUUUAGGUACAUCUUUGGAAAGAACUCUAAAAUGGAGAAGAUACCGAUGACUACUCCGGUCUUCACUGAGGUAUCUGAUGCAAAACUUUCCAAAGUAUCCAUCAAAAUAUGUCUUCCACUGGACAAGGAUCCAGGCCGGACUUGGAGCUUUAUAUUAAGGAAUGAAUUGCUGAUAGGGCUGGAAGAGUUCACAUUGGACUAGCAUAUUGAACGCGUUCUUCGACAAACUCUCCCCAUUGAUCAUUUUUCCCUACACGCACAGUAAGAGUUUAUUUUCGGCUAACAAGGUACCAAAGGAGUUUGAUUUAUAGAACUAUGAUCUGAUACCAUGUAGAAUUAUGAGAUUAUAUUCAUAUCUUAAUGUACAUAUUUACACAAGUCAGUGACUUGAGAUAAAAGUAAGUUACUUGAUUUAUAAGAA